rnacentral:rRNA from 1 species
AGUGAACGCUGGCGGUAGGCCUAACACAUGCAAGUCGAACGGCAGCACAGUAAGAGCUUGCUCUUACGGGUGGCGAGUGGCGGACGGGUGAGGAAUACAUCGGAAUCUACUUUUUCGUGGGGGAUAACGUAGGGAAACUUACGCUAAUACCGCAUACGACCUACGGGUGAAAGCAGGGGAUCUUCGGACCUUGCGCGAUUGAAUGAGCCGAUGUCGGAUUAGCUAGUUGGCGGGGUAAAGGCCCACCAAGGCGACGAUCCGUAGCUGGUCUGAGAGGAUGAUCAGCAACACUGGAACUGAGACACGGUCCAGACUCCUACGGGAGGCAGCAGUGGGGAAUAUUGGACAAUGGGCGCAAGCCUGAUCCAGCCAUACCGCGUGGGUGAAGAAGGCCCUCGGGUUGUAAAGCCCUUUUGUUGGGAAAGAAAAGCAGCAGGUUAAUACCCCGCUGUUCUGACGGUACCCAAAGAAUAAGCACCGGCUAACUUCGU